AGAUGAGGAGGAGACAGGGGAGCACACUGGGCUAAAGGCACUACCUGCCUCGCAGGGACCUUCGUGGGCCACGGUGAGGUUGGCAUCGGGGUGGGCACGGGCAGACUCGAGGAAGCGGCAGAUCUGUGGGUCGCAGAUCUGUCCCUCCAGGUUGGCACAUUCCCAGCAGCAGUCACAGGCGUCCCGCACCGUGCCGGCCAGGCAGCCGCGCGGCACCGGGCACUCCUCCGGCCGGCACUCGGCACAGCCCUCGCCCUCCUCCAGCAGUCGCUGCCAGCCCCGCUGCAGGUACUCGGCGCUGCUGGGGAAAGCUCGGCCCGGCUGGAGGCAAGCCCAGGGCAGGGUGAGCAGGUAAAGCAGCAGGCAGGAGGAGCUCAGCACCACAGGCAUCCUCGUGGCCGUUCCCAGAGCCCGGUUCCAGCAUCACUCGGAUGGAGAUUUGGAUGGGUCAGAGCCAAGCGGCCAUCGUGAUCUGCGAGGAGGAGAACGUGUAUU
rnacentral:lncRNA from 1 species